UGGGUUGUGGCUCAGCGGUAGAGCGCUCGCCUAGCAAGUGUGAGGCCCUGGGUUCCAUCCUCAGCACUACAU
rnacentral:tRNA from 1 species